rnacentral:tRNA from 7 species
GGCGGCGUAGCUCAGUUGGCAGAGCAGCGGACUCAUAAGCCGCGGGUCACUGGUUCGAGCCCAGUCGCCGCCACCU